UACGUAGGUGACAAGCGUUGUCCGGAUUUACUGGGCGUAAAGAGCGCGCAGGCGGUCGUUCAAGUCGAGUGUGAAAGCCCCCGGCUCAACUGGGGAGGGUCACUCGAUACUGAUCGACUUGAAGGCAGGAGAGGGAAGCGGAAUUCCCGGUGUAGUGGUGAAAUGCGUAGAUAUCGGGAGGAACACCAGUGGCGAAGGCGGCUUCCUGGCCUGUUCUUGACGCUGAGGCGCGAAAAGCU
rnacentral:rRNA from 1 species